AUCACGUAUGCGAAUAGUAAUUGAACAGACUGUCUCGCUGUGAUGAAGUUAUUUGUUUGUGUAAUAAUCGCACUGGUUUUGCACUGUGAUUUUAUUCGUGCAAAACCAGCCCCAAUCUUUAAAGAUGAGACGUCUUCAUGUGGUUAUGAUUCAUGCCAUCCAGUUAAAGAUGGAAUGAUCAACGUCCAUCUUGUUCCGCACACUCACGAUGAUGUCGGCUGGUUGAAAACCGUCGAUGAA